UACGUAGGGUGCAAGCGUUAAUCGGAAUUACUGGGCGUAAAGCGUGCGCAGGCGGUUGUGCAAGACCGAUGUGAAAUCCCCGGGCUCAACCCUGGGAAUGGCAUUGGUGACUGCACGGCUAGAGUGUGUCAGAGGGGGGUAGAAUUCCACGUGUAGCAGUGAAAUGCGUAGAGAUGUGGAGGAAUACCGAUGGCGAAGGCAGCCCCCUGGGAUAACACUGACGCUCAUGCACGAAAGCGUGGGGAGCAAACAGG
rnacentral:rRNA from 1 species